rnacentral:rRNA from 1 species
GACGAACGCUGGCGGCGUGCCUAAUACAUGCAAGUCGAACGAAGUCUUCGGACUUAGUGGCGAACGGGUGAGUAACACGUUGGUACCUACCCCGAAGUGGGGAAUAACUGCCCGAAAGGGUGGCUAAUACCGCAUAAUACCGCAAGGUUAAAGCAGUAAUGCGCUUCGGGAGGGGCCUGCGUCCCAUUAGCUAGUUGGUAGGGUAAUGGCCUACCAAGGCGACGAUGGGUAGCUGGAUCGAGAGGUUGACCAGCCACACUGGGACUGAGAUACGGCCCAGACUCCUACGGGAGGCAGCAGUAAGGAAUCUUCCACAAUGGACGAAAGUCUGAUGGAGCGACGCCGCGUGCAGGAUGACGGCCUUCGGGUUGUAAACUGCUUUUAUACGGGAAGAUUAUGACGGUACCAUAUGAAUAAGGACCGGCUAACUACGUGCCAGCCGCCGCGGUAA